AUAGGCAAAUGUUUGGUUAAACUGGAACUUUGGUCACCAUUAUAAGCAGCCAACAUGGCUUUAAGUGCCCCAAUCUAGUACAUUAUGACCAAGCUGGUGGUGCUCAAUCUAUCUUUAUAUAUAUUUAUUUUUCAGGUGUCUAUAUAGAUGUAUCUAUGACUUAGGAAUUUGGGCUAAAGAUGUAUGGUUCAGCAUCUACGACUCUUUUUGUUAUGCUGAGUAUAAAUUUAUAAACACAUACAAUUGACUGAUACGCCUGGUGAGUCUAACAAGAAGUUGUAUAUUAUCAAUUAAUUUGCUGAUAUAGCCUAUGAAGGUUUACGAUAGGACCGUGGAGGGUUGGGAUUUUGCUCAGUGAACUAAUUGUAUUCGUAUAUGCAGUUGAUGAAUGUGCUGGUGAGUCGAGGGAAAUUGUAUACAAUCGGUUAAUAGGCUGAUAUAACUUAUGGAAGGUUCAUGAAUAGAAAGAGAGAGGUCGGCUCGGUUUUUGUUUGAGGGACAAAUUUUAUUAGGAAUCUAAGGUUGUUCACGUUCACUAGUUGAUUUCAAAUUGAAACAAUUGCAGGAAAAAACAUGGUCUGAAAUUGGAGAAAAUGAAUUGCGGAAAAUAUAAAUGAUCAAGGACAGCAUGCUAUAUAAAAGGUUUUUUUUUGUUUCUUAUUGUUUUUAAGUUCUGAUGUGGUGAACCACUGCUACGGGAGCAUGGAUGCCAGGGUAGAUUAUUGGCCAUACUUCAUGUAAAACUAUGCCAAACUGCAGUUGAACUGCACUGAACCAUGGUG
rnacentral:lncRNA from 1 species